GCCUGCUGGGGGGAGGGGGGCGGGCGGCGCGCCGGUCCGCCCCCACAUUUCCCUGCCGCUGCGCCCGCGACAUGCCGCGCCGCACGUUGCUGCCUCCGGCCCCGCCACGACCUGGCCCGUCACCAACAGCCACUCGGGGUGCCUGCUCUAUGCCAGGCUCCUGAGAACUGGCCAGCUGUGCAGGUAUCAUCUAGACUGGCUCCCAGUGGAUGAGAAGAAGCUGGUUCUGGGAAGAGGGUUCCAGGCAGAGGGAGCUGCACCUGCAACGCCAGAAGCCCAAGAGAGAUCGGAGAGCAGCCCUGGGCGGAGGUAGGCAGGAGGCUGCGCAGGUUCACUUCCUGGCUGCGACUCACCUCCUCUGGGAAGCUUAUGAUUGACCCCUCUGCAUCUCCGAUAGCUCAUUCCUGCUGGCCUUGCAAGAUUCUGGACCCACAGUGGACACACUACGUGGUCGAUAUCCAAGUUUCCUGGCUGAGCACCGUGUCAGGGAACAGCCUGCAGGAAAACAAAGGCAUGGGCACUGACCACCACCCAUCUUCGGUCAGGCACUUCCCAUGCAUUAUCCACUUCAUUCGCAAAGCAGCCCUUUCAGAAUAAAUGGGUUUAUUAUUCCCAUUUGACAGAUGAGAAAACUGAAGCUCUGAGAAAUUAACCA